AAGUCGUAACAAGGUUUCCGUAGGUGAACCUGCGGAAGGAUCAUUACCAAUUUAAUCCAAAACACUUCAACCCAUGUGCACUAUGACAUUGUUUGUCUUUGGGGUGGCCGUUUUGUAUUGCAAAAUGUUUGCUGCCCCACAUUUGUUCAACACAUUUUAUUUAUUAUGGCAUCUUAUUGUCUUAAUACAAAUGGACAACUUUUAACGGUGGAUCUCUUGGCUCGUGGAU
rnacentral:misc_RNA from 1 species